CCAGCUCACCGGUGGAAAUUCCGGCCGUCCAGACGUACCACCACCCAGCAGUGCGGCAGGCAUGUGUCGUCAACCUCAAAAUCCCGCACGUACUCAAACUUGCUCUUGGCCAUGGCCACCCCCAAUCUCAGGCACCGUCUUAAAGUAACGGGAGUAGCAGCCAAAAGACUGCCGAUCCUAGCCGUGCGGAAAGCCCACAUUCGACCUAGGGAAGCAAUGGACGGGCCCCACCCCGGAAGUUCCUGUCGCUGUCGGAGCCGCUCUAGCCACGGUGGAGGUUUCUCUGUUGACUCUCCUAUCUUCAACUCAGCCGGCUACCCAGAGAGUGUGCUCUCCUGGGCUGUGCUAUUUUCCCCCGCCAGCAACAAAUCACUUUUAUGAAGCUAUCAGACGUUGUUUUGUGACCUAUUUUGAAAGUGUAGUUGUGAUCUUUUGGUCUCUUACUUCUAAAUAGCAUUUAUAAAGUAUUUCUAAGUAGCAUUUAUAAAUUCUUUGCAAAGAUGAAAUACACUAAAUUAUCGCUUUAUAGCUCCGGGGGUGGAGGUCGGGGGACCUUCCAGAUUCUUCUCGGGUUAUUUACUGGUUAUUCCAAACGUGUGAUUUAAACCAAGAAAGAGCCAGCAAGACAGCCCAGUCUGAAAAGAUGCUUGACGCCAAGUGUGAUGUUUGAUCCCUAGAAGCCACAUGGUGUGACCUUCCUUUCUCAGGCUUUCCAAUAGCGAAUAUCAGAGGCAUGUUACCCUGCUGUAUGCCAUUAUGUGAAUUUAAAAUUUGAACUCACCACUAUUAAAAGAUUUUGUAUGUGUAUGA